rnacentral:rRNA from 1 species
CCUACGGGAGGCAGCAGUGGGGAAUAUUGGGCAAUGGGCGCAAGCCUGACCCAGCAACGCCGCGUGAAGGAAGAAGGCCCUCGGGUUGUAAACUUCUUUUAUCAAGGACGAAACAAAUGACGGUACUUGAUGAAUAAGCCACGGCAAACUACGUGCCAUCAGACGCUGUAAUACGUAGGUGGCAAGCGUUAUCCGGAUUUAUUGGGUUUAAAGCGUUCGUAGGCGGAUUUUUAAGUUAGCGGUAAAAUUUCCGGGGUCACCCCGGGACGGCCGUUCAAACUGGCGAUCUUGAGUGCGCGAGACGUAUGCGGAAUGCGUGGUGUAGCGGUGAAAUGCAUAGAUAUCACGAAGAACUCCGAUUGCGAAGGCAGCAUACCGGAGCCCGACUGACGCUGAGGCACGAAAGCGUGGGGAUCGAACAGGAUUAGAUACCCUAGUAGUC